rnacentral:rRNA from 2 species
UACGAAGGGGGCUAGCGUUGUUCGGAUUUACUGGGCGUAAAGCGCACGUAGGCGGAUCUUUAAGUCAGAGGUGAAAUCCCGGAGCUCAACUUCGGAACUGCCUUUGAUACUGGGGAUCUCGAGUUCGGGAGAGGUGAGUGGAACUGCGAGUGUAGAGGUGAAAUUCGUAGAUAUUCGCAAGAACACCAGUGGCGAAGGCGGCUCACUGGCCCGAUACUGACGCUGAGGUGCGAAAGCGUGGGGAGCAAACAGG